rnacentral:sRNA from 1 species
GAGGUGACAAUCAAGCUGUUGGCCAGGACAGCAGUAUAUAAAGACGACUGGAACUGGAGAACACACUUUUUUAGCUCAUCACAUGGCUUUUAGCAGAAGGCUUCAGUUCCUCACCAUGUUGGUCUCUCCAAAGGGUUGUUCAUGUUAUCUCUUCCUCUAGAGCAGGGUCUGAGGCUUCAGGACCCCAACUUCUGCCAGUGAGAGCACUAAAUGAAGUCUUCAUUGGGGAGAGUCUGUCAUCCAGGGCUUCCUACUAUGAGAUUUCAGUUGAUGAUGGUCCAUGGGAAAAACAGAAGAGUUCAGGGCUCAAUUUGUGUACUGGAACAGGAUCAAAGGCCUGGUCAUUCAAUAUUAACAGGGUUGCAACUCAGGCUGUAGAAGAUGUUUUAAAUAUUGCAAAACGACAAGGAAAUUUGAGUCUUCCAUUGAACAAAGAAUUGGUAGAGAAAGUAACAAAUGAAUAUAAUGAAUCACUGCUCUACAGUCCGGAAGAACCAAAAAUACUUUUCAGUAUUCGAGAACCAAUAGCAAAUAGAGUUUUCUCAAGCAGUCGUCAGCGUUGUUUCUCCUCAAAGGUUUGUGUUCGUUCUCGUUGUUGGGAUGCCUGUAUGGUUGUGGAUGGAGGAACUUCUUUUGAGUUUAAUGAUGGUGCAAUUGCUUCGAUGAUGAUCAAUAAAGAAGAUGAGCUUCGAACUGUGCUUCUUGAACAGUGAAGGAUUUCCUCAUGACAAAUUUUGAUUACUGGCGAGAAUAUUUUUACUUCAGAAACAGACUACCAGUCGUAAAGUGACAUUUUUUGGUUAUUGUUGAGACUGCUUGCCCGUGGGCUCAGAAGUGAGAUUUGCAUUAUUCUUCUGUUGGAUUCUGAUAGAAAAAAAGACAUUCACUGUAUAAGAAAAUGGAUGGACUGAACUAAUUAGAAUUGAUACCAGUGAAAUUUUUAUAUUGCUUACAGUCGGUAACCAAGAGUGCUGAUACCUUUUUAAAUUUAGAGGGACAGGCUUAAAUAAAGGACUAAAUAUUUAGGAUUUGAAA